rnacentral:rRNA from 1 species
CUACGUGCCAGCAGCCGCGGUAAUACGUAGGUGGCAAGCGUUGUCCGGAAUUAUUGGGCGUAAAGCGCGCGCAGGCGGAUUGGUCAGUCUGUCUUAAAAGUUCGGGGCUUAACCCCGUGAUGGGAUGGAAACUGCCAAUCUAGAGUAUCGGAGAGGAAAGUGGAAUUCCUAGUGUAGCGGUGAAAUGCGUAGAUAUUAGGAAGAACACCAGUGGCGAAGGCGACUUUCUGGACGAAAACUGACGCUGAGGCGCGAAAGCCAGGGAAGCAAACGGGAUUAGAUACCCCGGUAGUCCUGGCCGUAAACGAUGGGUACUAGGUGUAGGAGGUAUCGACCCCUUCUGUGCCGGAGUUAACGCAAUAAGUACCCCGCCUGGGGAGUACGACCGCAAGGUUGAAACUCAAAGGAAUUGACGGGGGCCCGCACAAGCGGUGGAGUAUGUGGUUUAAUUCGACGCAACGCGAAGAACCUUACCAGGUCUUGACAUUGAUGGACAGAACUAGAGAUAG